UACGUAGGCAGCGAGCGUUGUUCGGAGUUACUGGGCGUAAAGAGUGCGUAGGCGGUUCUUUAAGUUUGGCGUGAAAUCUCCCGGCUCAACUGGGAGGGUGCGUCGAAAACUGGGGGACUAGAGUACGGGAGAGGAGAGCGGAAUUCCUGGUGUAGCGGUGAAAUGCGUAGAUAUCAGGAGGAACACCCGCGGUGUAGACGGCUCUCUGGACCGUAACUGACGCUGAGGCACGAAAGCGUGGGGAGCAAACAGG
rnacentral:misc_RNA from 1 species